UACGAAGGGGGCUAGCGUUGUUCGGAAUUACUGGGCGUAAAGCGCCACGUAGGCGGGUCGUUAAGUCAGGGGUGAAAUCCCAGAGCUCAACUCCUGGAACUGCCUUUGAUACUGGCGACCUAGAGUCCGGAAGAGGUUAGUGGAAUUCCCCAGUGUAGAGGUGAAAUUCCGUAGAUAUUGGGAGAACACCAGUGGCGAAGGCGGCUAACUGGUCCGGUACUGACGCUGAGG
rnacentral:rRNA from 1 species